rnacentral:rRNA from 1 species
AUUGAACGCUGGCGGCAGGCCUAACACAUGCAAGUCGAGCGAGCGCCGGUGGGGUGAGUAAUGCCUAGGAAUCUGCCUGGUAGUGGUGGAUAACGUCCGGAAAUGGUAGCUAAUACCGCAUACUAUCGGCUGCGCCUAGAUGGGAUUAGCUAGUAGGUGGGGGAACGGCUCACCAGGGCGACGAUCCCUAGCUGGCCUGAGAGGAUGACCAGCCACACUGGAACGGAGACACGGUCCAGACUCCUACGGGAGGCAGCAGUGGGGAAUAUUGCACAAUGGGCGCAAGCCUGAUGCAGCCAUGCCGCGUGUAUGAAGAAGGCCUUCGGGUUGUAAAGUACUUUCAGCGGGGAGGCGUUACCCACAGAAGAAGCACCGGCUAACUCCGUGCCAGCAGCCGCGGUAAUAC